rnacentral:tRNA from 1 species
GCCCCCUGAGUAUCUCCAGUACGUCUGCCUUCCAAGCAGAAAGAUUAGGGCAUCCCUAAAGGCGGCA